AUUGAACGCUGGCGGCAGGCCUAACACAUGCAAGUCGAGCGGAUGAAGGGAGCUUGCUCCUGGAUUCAGCGGCGGACGGGUGAGUAAUGCCUAGGAAUCUGCCUGGUAGUGGGGGAUAACGUCCGGAAACGGGCGCUAAUACCGCAUACGUCCUGAGGGAGAAAGUGGGGGAUCUUCGGACCUCACGCUAUCAGAUGAGCCUAGGUCGGAUUAGCUAGUUGGUGGGGUAAAGGCCUACCAAGGCGACGAUCCGUAACUGGUCUGAGGGGAUGAUCAGUCACACUGGAACUGAGACACGGUCCAGACUCCUACGGGAGGCAGCAGUGGGGAAUAUUGGACAAUGGGCGAAAGCCUGAUCCAGCCAUGCCGCGUGCGUGAAGAAGGUCUUCGGAUUGUAAAGCACUUUAAGUUGGGAGGAAGGGCAGUAAGUUAAUACCUUGCUGUUUUGACGUUACCAACAGAAUAAGCACCGGCUAACUUCGUG
rnacentral:rRNA from 1 species